ACACUCCUGCGGGAGGCAGCAGUGGGGAAUAUUGGACAAUGGGCGCAAGCCUGAUCCAGCCAUGCCGCGUGAGUGAUGAAGGCCCUAGGGUUGUACAGCUCUUUCACCGGUGAAGAUAAUGACGGUAACCGGAGAAGAAGCCCCGGCUAACUUCGUGCCAGCAGCCGCGGUAAUACGAAGGGGGCUAGCGUUGUUCGGAUUUACUGGGCGUAAAGCGCACGUAGGCGGACUAUUAAGUCAGGGGUGAAAUCCCGGGGCUCAACCCCGGAACUGCCUUUGAUACUGGUAGUCUUGAGUUCGAGAGAGGUGAGUGGAAUUCCGAGUGUAGAGGUGAAAUUCGUAGAUAUUCGGAGGAACACCAGUGGCGAAGGCGGCUCACUGGCUCGAUACUGACGCUGAGGUGCGAAAGCGUGGGGAGCAAACAGGAUUAGAAACCCCGGUAGUCCCAUGAU
rnacentral:rRNA from 1 species